rnacentral:rRNA from 1 species
CCUAUAUCGGCGGUGUCCACCUCUUCCCAUUCCGAACAGAGAAGUUAAGCCCGCCAGAGCCGAUGGUACUGCAGUAACAUGUGGGAGAGUAGGUCGGUGCCAAAU